rnacentral:rRNA from 1 species
AUACAGAGGGUGCAAACGUUGUUGGGAAUUACUGGGCAUAAAGCGCACGUAGGCGGUCUAGUAAGUGUGAAGUGAAAUCCCACGGCUCACCCGUGGAACUGCUUUGCAUACUGCUAGACUCGAGGAAGGUAGGGGAGAGCAGAACUCUUGGAGGAGCGGUGAAAUGCGUAGAUAUCAAGAGGAAUACCAGUGGCGAAGGCGGCUCUCUGGUCCUUUUCUGACGCUGAGGUGCGAAAGCUAGGGUAGCGAACGGGAUUAGAAACCCCAGUAGUCC